AUGAUCAACCCCUCCUCUGCAAACGGUGGGAAAGAAAAGGGAUUCUGGGUGGCCCAGAUGCACCGUGGGGCUCAAGAGGCUGUGUACACCAUGGCCUGGACUCCUCUCCUCCUCAUGCUCCUCUUCCAAUGCAUAGGUUCCCUUUCCCAGCCUGGGCUGAUUCAGCCACCCUCCCUGUCUGCAUCUUCUGGAAAAAUAGCCAGACUCACCUGUACCCUGAGCGAUGGCUUCAGUCUUGAAAAUUAUGGCAUAUCUUUGUAUCAGCAAAAGCCUGGGAACUCUCUUCAGUAUCUGCUGUACUACUACACAGACUUUGAUAAGAACCAGGGCUCUGGGGUCCCCAGUCGCUUCUCUGGAUCCAAUGAUGAGUCAGGCAAUGCAGGGAUUUUGCUCAUCUCUGGGCUUCAGCCUGAGGAUGAGGCUGAAUACUAUUGUGCUACAGCUCAUGGCAGUGGAAGCAGUUUUCGUUUCCCACAGUGCUUCAGAUAA